rnacentral:rRNA from 1 species
AGAGUUUGAUCAUGGCUCAGGAUGAACGCUGGCGGCGUGCUUAACACAUGCAAGUCGAACGAACCUUCGGGUUAGUGGCGGACGGGUGAGUAACGCGUGAGAAUCUGCCCUCAGGAGGGGGAUAACGGUUGGAAACGACCGCUAAUACCCCAUAUGCCUAUUGGUGAAAUGAAUUUCGCCUGAGGAUGAGCUCGCGUCUGAUUAGCUAGUUGGUGAGGUAAUGGCUCACCAAGGCUUCGAUCAGUAGCUGGUCUGAGAGGAUGAUCAGCCACACUGGGACUGAGACACGGCCCAGACUCCUACGGGAGGCAGCAGUGGGGAAUUUUCCGCAAUGGGCGAAAGCCUGACGGAGCAACGCCGCGUGAGGGAGGAAGGCCUCUGGGCUGUAAACCUCUUUUCUCAAGGAAGAAGAUAUGACGGUACUUGAGGAAUAAGCCACGGCUAAUUCCGUGCCAGCAGCCGCGGUAAUACGGGAGUGGCAAGCGUUAUCCGGAAUUAUUGGGCGUAAAGCGUCCGCAGGCGGCUUUUCAAGUCUGCUGUUAAAACGUGGAGCUUAACUCCAUCAUGGCAGUGGAAACUGAAAGGCUUGAGUAUGGUAGGGGCAGAGGGAAUUCCCGGUGUAGCGGUGAAAUGCGUAGAUAUCGGGAAGAACACCAGUGGCGAAGGCGCUCUGCUGGGCCAUUACUGACGCUCAUGGACGAAAGCCAGGGGAGCGAAAGGGAUUAGAUACCCCUGUAGUCCUGGCCGUAAACGAUGAACACUAGGUGUCGGGGGAAUCGACCCCUUCGGUGUCGUAGCUAACGCGUUAAGUGUUCCGCCUGGGGAGUACGCACGCAAGUGUGAACUCAAGGAAUUGACGGGGGCCCGCACAAGCGGUGGAGUAUGUGGUUUAAUUCGAUGCAACGCGAAGAACCUUACCAGGGUUUGACAUCCUGCGAACCUCUUAGAAAUUUGAGGGUGCCUUCGGGAAUGCAGUGACAGGUGGUGCAUGGCUGUCGUCAGCUCGUGUCGUGAGAUGUUGGGUUAAGUCCCGCAACGAGCGCAACCCACGUUUUUAGUUGCCAGCAUUUAGUUGGGCACUCUAGAAAGACCGCCGGUGAUAAACCGGAGGAAGGUGUGGAUGACGUCAAGUCAUCAUGCCCCUUACACCCUGGGCUACACACGUACUACAAUGCUACGGACAAAGGGCAGCAAACUCGCGAGAGCUAGCAAAUCCCAUAAACCGUGGCUCAGUUCAGAUCGUAGGCUGCAACUCGCCUACGUGAAGUAGGAAUCGCUAGUAAUCGCAGGUCAGCAUACUGCGGUGAAUACGUUCCCGGGCCUUGUACACACCGCCCGUCACACCAUGGAAGUUGGCCAUGCCCGAAGUCGUUACUCCAACCCUUGUGGAGGAGGACGCCGAAGGUGGGGCUAAUGACUGGGGUGAAGUCGUAACAAGGUAACCGUA